rnacentral:lncRNA from 1 species
UCUCCUUCUUUCUGCUUUUCUUCUUGCAAUGAGUCGUUCUUUGACGCUUUUACCUUCUGAUGGCAGUGUCCUGCAGAAGCACUCCCCUUGCCCCUGGGGGUCCCACUGAAAUCGACGAUCCAGCGGUUGAAAAAGGAGGUCCUUCACCUGACGAAGAAGUUGAAGAAGACGGAAGGCGAGCUCCGCAAAUCGAGAGAAGGCCAUUUUGAAGCCGCCGCUGAGGCCGCCCACUUUCGGAGUCUCCACGUGAAGGCGAUCAUGGAUUACAGCC